rnacentral:rRNA from 1 species
GAGCUAGUAAAUGGGUUUGUUAGCAGUAGUUAAAGUUAGAAGUGAUAUCUUGAAAUAUUUAAAUGAAGUGGUGAAAUGUAUAUGUUAGAGUAUUUAUUAAGAUUAGAAGUUUUACUUAAGGCUAUAAAAACUAGGGGUUAAAACGGGAUUAGAUACCCCUUUAUACCUAGUAUAGAGUUUGUAAGAAUGAUGGGGUAGUAAUGAGAUAUGGUCUUUAAACUUAAAGGAUUUGGCGGUAUUUAAGUCCAGUUAGAGGAACCUGUACAGUAAAUGAUAAUCCACGAGAAUCUUAUUUUACUUUGAAAUUCAGUUUGUAUACCGCCAUUAUUAGAUAGUUUUUAAAAAGAGUUAUUAGAAUAGUUUUACUAGUAUAUUAGGUCAAGGUGCAGCUAAUAGUAAAGGUGUUAUGGGUUACAUUCUAUAUUAUAGAUGCGAAUAGAAGCGGAGAAAUAACCGCUUUUUGAAGAUGGAUUUAACAGUAAAUUUUAUAUAUUAUGUAAGGUUGAUGUUGGCUCUUAAGUAUGUACACAUCGCCCGUCGUUCUCGCUUU